GUGCUUGCUUCUGGUAGCACAUAUACUAAAAUUGGAACAAUACAAGGAAUAUUAGCAUAGCUACUGUGCAGACAUGACACACAAAUUUAUAAAGCAUUUCAUAUUUUU
ensembl:snRNA U6 U6 spliceosomal RNA